rnacentral:sRNA from 1 species
GCCGUCGCCAUGACCCGUGAGCACCGAGCCCCCUUCUCCUUGCCCUUUUAUUUCCGUUCACCCUCAACACCACCGGCGAGGCGCCGGCUUUGACCUUCCGUAGCUUCCCGAGCGAGGCGUUUCUCUGGGCGCGCUCUGUAGCCACCCUCACACUCGGUGCCCGGAAAUCGAGCCCUUUGCCCGCGGCUACUUCACGGGACCACCCUCCCGCGUUAGGCAUAGGCCCUCCCGGCUCUUCCGCGGUGCGGUAACCAGCGUGAGCUCGCCCGCCAGAAAAAUAUGAAAAAGCAGAGCGACUCGGUUAAGGGAAAGCGCCGAGAUGACGGGCUUUCUGCUGCCGCCCGCAAGCAGAGGUAGCCCCAGGGAGGGGAGGGAAAGGGACGGUGGAGACCUGGGUUAGACCAAGGGUUAUAGCAGGAAAGAGAGCUACCUCAGGGCUUGAAUGUGGACUAGUCGUGAGGAGGAGAGUGCAUUGCUUCCUCUAGGGUUUUAUUUCCUCCCCACCCUCCAAAUUGUUAGCUCACAGCUUUACAGGAAAGGACGGGGGCGGGCGCCUGCCCUCAGUCUGAUUUCUGAGCGUCCCUGGGUCUGACCUUAAGGGCAAGGGCAGGGAGCUUCACAUUUCAAAUACAGUUGUGGUUAUGGCAGCCCAGUACUUUUGGCCCUCCUUGCUGUUCGGUUCUCCUCCCUUC